AGAGUUUGAUUCUGGCUCAGGAUGAACGCUAGCGAUAGGCCUAACACAUGCAAGUCGAGGGGCAGCACAUGAAGUAGCAAUACGGAUGGUGGCGACCGGCGCACGGGUGAGUAACGCGUAUGCAACCUGCCUACAACAGGGGAAUAACCCGUUGAAAGACGGACUAAUACCCCAUAACACAGGGAUCCCGCAUGGGAAUAUUUGUUAAAGAUUUAUCGGUUGUAGAUGGGCAUGCGUUCCAUUAGCUUGUUGGUGAGGUAACGGCUCACCAAGGCAACGAUGGAUAGGGGAACUGAGAGGUUUAUCCCCCACACUGGUACUGAGACACGGACCAGACUCCUACGGGAGGCAGCAGUGAGGAAUAUUGGUCAAUGGACGCAAGUCUGAACCAGCCACGUCGCGUGAAGGAAGACGGCCCUACGGGUUGUAAACUUCUUUUGUAAGGGAAUAAAGUGUAGUACGUGUACUAUUUUGCAUGUACCUUACGAAUAAGGAUCGGCUAACUCCGUGCCAGCAGCCGCGGUAAUACGGAGGAUCCGAGCGUUAUCCGGAUUUAUUGGGUUUAAAGGGUGCGCAGGCGGGAGAUUAAGUCGGCGGUGAAAUUUUGCAGCUCAACUGUAAAAGUGCCUUCGAAACUGGUUUUCUUGAGUGUGGAUGAAGUAGGCGGAAUUUGUGGUGUAGCGGUGAAAUGCAUAGAUAUCACGAGGAACUCCGAUUGCGCACGCAGCUUACUAAACCAUAACUGACGCUCAUGCACGAAGGCGUGGGGAUCAAACAGGAUUAGAUACCCUGGUAGUC
rnacentral:rRNA from 1 species